AUUGAACGCUGGCGGCAUGCCUUACACAUGCAAGUCGAACGGUAGCGGGCCUUCGGGUGCCGACGAGUGGCGAACGGGUGAGUAAUGUAUCGGAACGUACCUUUCAGUGGGGGAUAACGUAGCGAAAGUUGCGCUAAUACCGCAUAUUCUGUGAGCAGGAAAGCAGGGGAUCGCAAGACCUUGCGCUGAUUGAGCGGCCGAUAUCAGAUUGGCUAGUUGGUGAGGUAAAGGCUCACCAAGGCGACGAUCUGUAGCGGGUCUGAGAGGAUGAUCCGCCACACUGGAACUGAGACACGGUCCAGACUCCUACGGGAGGCAGCAGUGGGGAAUUUUGGACAAUGGGGGCAACCCUGAUCCAGCCAUGCCGCGUGAGUGAAGAAGGCCUUCGGGUUGUAAAGCUCUUUCGGCCGGGAAGAAAUCGUAUCAGCUAAUACCUGGUGCGGAUGACGGUACCGGCAUAAGAAGCACCGGCUAACUACGUGCCAGCCGCCGCCGUAAGAC
rnacentral:rRNA from 1 species